rnacentral:rRNA from 1 species
UACAGAGGUGGCAAGCGUUGUUCGGAAUCACUGGGCAUAAAGGGCGCGUAGGCGGCUUGACAAGUCAGGGGUGAAAUCCGGCAGCUUAACUGUCGCAGUGCCUUUGAUACUGUCGAGCUCGAGGGAGGUAGGGGUCUGUGGAACUUCCGGUGGAGCGGUGAAAUGCGUUGAUAUCGGAAGGAACGCCGGUGGCGAAAGCGACGGACUGGAUCUCUUCUGACGCUGAGGCGCGAAAGCCAGGGGAGCAAACGGG